UUGAUGAAACGCGCUACCCGUUUCAAUAAAUAUGGAUUCUACAUUGAAUUAGGGUUCUCUCCCUCCGGCUCUCUCUGUCUAAAAGGGGCGCUCUGUUCGCUUACCCCCUUCCAUCGUUUUGAAGGGGAAGCAGCGGAGGCUUAAGGGUCGUCGUGAGACGAGCAGAGGGAAUAGAAGAUGAGAGCGAAGUGGAAGAAGAAGCGAAUGAGGCGCCUCAAGCGCAAGCGCCGGAAGAUGAGACAGAGAUCAAAGUAAGCGCCGCGGCCGUCUCACUAGACUCCAUUGCUUGUUGCGUCUUAGGGUGUGGAUGGAGGAAGGAUUUUGAUUUCCAUUCCUGACAACCUUUCACCCUGUGGAAUUAGGCUUUGGAGGGACGAAUUAGACUCACUCUUGCUUUGUUCUUUUUUGUUUUCCUUUCAGUGGAUAGUCUUUUAACCUGACUUGGUUUCGAACACGUUUUUCUUUCUUGGUUAAUCUUGUUGUUUAGCGAACUGAUUCUUAAUCUCUAUCUCAAAUGAUAUAUUCUUGUUUGAUCAACCAAA